GUAAAUGCGAAGACAAAAAAGAGUAGUGUCGCCGUUAAUACAGGAAGCAGGGGCUUGAUUGAGAACCUUGCCAGGCAACAUGAAUUCACUUUUAGAGCAGAGACUUGGGCGCUAGGGCAACCUAGCAAAAAAGUUUCCGGAUUCCGCCGUUAUCGGACUUGAGUGGUGAUUAGGCGACUAGUCACAAUGAGGGUGGUACCGCGGAAUUCCGUCCCUUUU
rnacentral:ncRNA from 1 species